UCCGGCCGGCGGGGGUUAAGUCCACUGGAAAGUGGCGCCACAGAGGGUGACAGCCCCGUGAACCCCUUUAACGCCUUCAUCCCAGAUCUCCAAGAGUCGAGUUGUUUGGGAAUGCAGCUCUAAGUGGGUGGUAAAUUCCAUCUAAAGCUAAAUACCGGCGAGAGACCGAUAGCGAACAAGUACAGUGAUGGAAAGAUGAAAAGCACUUUGAAAAGAGAGUGAAAAAGUACGUGAAAUUGUUGAAAGGGAAGGGCUUGCAAGCAGAACUUAACUGGGCCAGCAUCGGGGCGGCGGGGACCAAAACCACCGGGGAAUGUACCUUUCGAGGAUUAUAACCCCGGUCCUUACUCCCUUACCGCCCCGAGGCCUGCAAUCUAAGGAUGCUGGCGUAAUGGUUGCGAGUCGCCCGUUG
rnacentral:rRNA from 2 species